rnacentral:rRNA from 1 species
UGAGGAAUAUUGGUCAAUGGGGGCAACCCUGAACCAGCCAAGUCGCGUGAAGGAUGAAGGUCUUAUGGAUUGUAAACUUCUUUUACACGGGAAUAAAGCGGGGGACGUGUCCCUCUUUGCAUGUACCGUGUGAAUAAGGAUCGGCUAACUCCGUGCCAGCAGCCGCGGUAAUACGGAGGAUCCGAGCGUUAUCCGGAUUUAUUGGGUUUAAAGGGUGCGCAGGCGGGAUGUUAAGUCGGCGGUGAAAUUUUCAGGCUCAACCUGAACACUGCCGUUGAAACUGGGAUUCUUGAGUAUGGAUGAAGUGGGCGGAAUUCGAUGUGUAGCGGUGACAUGCUUAGAUAUAACGAGGAACUCCGAUUGCGUAGGCAGCUUACUAAGCCAUAACUGACGCUCAAACACAAAAGCGUGGGGAUCA